GCCCAAUGAUGAGACCACGGCAAGUAUGAGCUAAUCAGGCUGAGUGUGUUCCUUCCUUCUGAUUGGUGGGUAAUCUUGGUAGUGUGGUGUAGAUUGGCUGCUCUGCUGUAAGGGCCCACCUACAGUAAACUAGCUGUCCUCCACAUUCUCUGCCCAUCCCAAAGAAGUGGAAGAGGGCAGUAUGGAGGCAGCUGAAAGUGUGUGUGUGUGUGUGUGUGUGUCAGUUGGCAAGGAGGCAUCACUCUUUGACUGCCUUUGCUUUGAUUAUUUUCUUUGGUAAUCUGAGGGCA
rnacentral:snoRNA from 1 species